CUAAUGUGAUUACCCCAAGAUGUCACUCUCCCGGGCUCUGUCCUAGUCACACGGAGAAACACUGGGCCAUGUCUCUGGUGUACAACCCUUUCCAUGGUGUCGAGAUGAAGCUGGGCUUCAAGUCUGUGCCUGCACAUUCCUACGUCUUUGCAGAGCCUUGUGGGCAAUGACUGAAGAGACAGAUUUGGAGUGGAGGGGUGUUUU
rnacentral:snoRNA from 1 species